AGAGUUUGAUCCUGGCUCAGAACGUACGCUGGCGGCACGCCUAACACAUGCAAGUCGAACGAAGUAGCAAUACUUAGUGGCAGACGGGUGAGUAACAUGUAGGUAUCUACCCUUUGGCCUGGAAUAACACGAGGAAACUUGUGCUAAUACCGGAUAAGUCUUUACGGAGAAAGCUUUAUGCACCAUUGGAUGAGCCUGCACUUGAUUAGUUUGUUGGUGGGGUAAUGGCCUACCAAGACUGUGAUCAAUAGCUGAUUUGAGAGGAUGAUCAGCCACAUUGGGACUGAGACACGGCCCAAACUCCUACGGGAGGCAGCAGUGGGGAAUCUUGCACAAUGGAGGAAACUCUGAUGCAGCGAUGCCGCGUGAGUGAAGAAGGCCCUUGGGUUGUAAAGCUCUUUCGUCGGGGAAGAAAAUGACUGUACCCGAAUAAGAAGGUCCGGCUAACUUCGUGCCAGCAGCCGCGGUAAUACGAAGGGACCUAGCGUAGUUCGGAAUUACUGGGCUUAAAGAGUUCGUAGGUGGUUGAAAAAGUUGGUGGUGAAAUCCCAGAGCUUAACUCUGGAACUGCCAUCAAAACUUUUCAGCUAGAGUUUGAUAGAGGAAAGCAGAAUUUCUAGUGUAGAGGUGAAAUUCGUAGAUAUUAGAAAGAAUACCAAUUGCGAAGGCAGCUUUCUGGAUCAUUACUGACACUGAGGAACGAAAGCAUGGGUAGCGAAGAGGAUUAGAUACCCUCGUAGUCCAUGCCGUAAACGAUGUGUGUUAGACGUUGGAAAUUUAUUUUCAGUGUCGCAGCGAAAGCGAUAAACACACCGCCUGGGGAGUACGACCGCAAGGUUAAAACUCAAAUGAAUUGACGGGGACCCGCACAAGUAGUGGAGCAUGUGGUUUAAUUCGAAGAUACGCGCAGAACCUUACCAACACUUGACAUGUUCGUCGCGACUUUAAGAGAUUAAAGUUUUCGGUUCGGCCGGACGAAACACAGGUGCUGCAUGGCUGUCGUCAGCUCGUGUCGUGAGAUGUUGGGUUAAGUCCCGCAACGAGCGCAACCCUCACUUUUAGUUGCCAUCAUUAAGUUGGGCACUCUGAAAGAACUGCCAGUGAUAAGCUGGAGGAAGGUGGGGAUGACGUCAAGUCCUCAUGGCCCUUACGUGUUGGGCUACACACGUGCUACAAUGGUAUCUACAACAGGAAGCAAGACGGCGACGUUAAGCAAAUCCUUAAAAGAUACCUCAGUUCGGAUUGCACUCUGCAACUCGAGUGCAUGAAGCUGGAAUUACUAGUAAUCGUGGAUCAGCGUGCCACGGUGAAUGCGUUCCCGGGUCUUGUACACACCGCCCGUCACACCAUGGGAGUUGGUUCUACCUUAAGGCAAGGUUUCAAACCCUUGACCACGGUAUAGUCAGCGACUGGGGUGAAGUCGUAACAAGGUAACC
rnacentral:rRNA from 1 species